rnacentral:rRNA from 1 species
CAGCAGCCGCGGUAAUACGGAGGGGGCUAGCGUUGUUCGGAAUUACUGGGCGUAAAGCGCACGUAGGCGGCUUGGUAAGUUAGAGGUGAAAGCCUGGAGCUCAACUCCAGAAUUGCCUUUAAGACUGCCGAGCUAGCAGGUGAGAGAGGUAAGUGGAAUUCCGAGUGUAGAGGUGAAAUUCGUAGAUAUUCGGAAGAACACCAGUGGCGAAGGCGGCUUACUGGCUCAUACCGGACGCUGAGGUGCGAAAGCGUGGGGAGCAAACAGGAUUAGAUACCCCAGUAGUCCCUGUCUCUUAUAC